UGAGCAUUUCAUUCAGCAAAGGUUCCUACGGGUAGUAGUUCUUGUCUGCAUAUGUCUGAAAGUGCCUUAAUCUCAGCUCCAUCUUGAAUAAGAAAUCAGGUGGGCGUGGCCUGCUCAGUGAGAAGCUCUUUUUCCCCAGCACCAUGCAUGUGUUACUCCACUGUCUCCUGGAGUGGAAUGAGCUCAAAGAAAUGAGCUCCUAUUUCUUUGGUCUGUCUCAUGUGGGUUUCUUCCAUCGGCUGAAUUUCCUUGCGCUGUCUGUUACUUCUGUUUGAGAGCUUGUAGUUUUUGGAGUUUCCUCCUGUGUGCAUCUCUCUCAGCUUCCUUUCGGGGCUGUUUCAUGGUUUCUGGUUGGUGGAGAGAUUUUGGUUGCUCUGAGGAGCAGGAGGCACGGACACUCCUUCAGGAUGGGUUGUGCCAACCUUGAUCUGCUCCUGACUCCCAGAGAGCUCUGUGGUCUUGACCUCAAUCUGUUUGGGCUCAUAGUGAGGUUCUUGUUUUGAGUGAGCCUGUGUACUUUAAAAUAUGUGUAAGAUAUUUAAUCUCUUAUGUCAAUGUGUUUGGAGAGAGGUGGAGAAGAUGAGGUUCUCUGUGUGCUUUCUUCCUGCUGAAAGGUGGCCCUCCAAAAGAUGUGUCCGUGGAAGUCUGAGGCGGGCAGAUCACUUGACGU
rnacentral:lncRNA from 10 species